rnacentral:rRNA from 1 species
AGCCGAGCGGUAGAGUCUCUUCGGAGACUUGAGAGCGGCGCACGGGUGCGGAACACGUGUGCAACCUGCCUUUAUCUGGGGGAUAGCCUUUCGAAAGGAAGAUUAAUACCCCAUAAUAUAUUGAUUGGCAUCAANCGAUAUUGAAAACUCCGGUGGAUAGAGAUGGGCACGCGCAAGAUUAGAUAGUUGGUGAGGUAACGGCUCACCAAGUCUGCGAUCUUUAGGGGGCCUGAGAGGGUGAUCCCCCACACUGGUACUGAGACACGGACCAGACUCCUACGGGAGGCAGCAGUGAGGAAUAUUGGACAAUGGGUGAGAGCCUGAUCCAGCCAUCCCGCGUGAAGGACGACGGCCCUAUGGGUUGUAAACUUCUUUUGUAUAGGGAUAAACCUUUCCUCGUGAGGGAAGCUGAAGGUACUAUACGAAUAAGCACCGGCUAACUCCGUGCCAGCAGCCGCGGUAAUACGGAGGGUGCAAGCGUUAUCCGGAUUUAUUGGGUUUAAAGGGUCCGUAGGCGGAUCUGUAAGUCAGUGGUGAAAUCUCACAGCUUAACUGUGAAACUGCCAUUGAUACUGCAGGUCUUGAGUGUUGUUGAANUAGCUGGAAUAAGUAGUGUAGCGGUGAAAUGCAUAGAUAUUACUU